UUGACGUGCUGAUCGACCACAGCGAAAUGGGCGCCGGCUGGGCGACCGAAACGGACCCCGCAGCAGAAACCGCCACCGGCUCGAUCGACCGCAUCACCAUCCCGCUGCACGAACUCAGCGCGCUGCCCAAGGCGUCGCAGCGGCUGCUCGAUGACAGCGCCUUUGAUAUCGAGGGCUGGCUGGCCGGGCGCAUCGCCGACAAAUUCGCGCGGUCCGAGGCCGAUGCCUUCAUCAACAGCGACGGCAUCGACAAGCCCACCGGCUUCCUCAGCUACACCGUGGCCGAAAACGGCAGCUGGACCUGGGGCAACCUCGGCUACAUCGCCUCCGGCAUCGAUGCCGACGUCGGCGACGGCGAUGCGGUCAUCGACCUGGUCUAUGCGCUGGGGGCGGAAUACCGCGCCAAUGCCACCUUCAUCAUGAACUCCAAGACCGCGGGAAUGCUCAGGAAACUGAAGGACGCCGAUGGCCGCUUCCUGUGGUCCGACGGGCUGGCCGCGGCGGAGCCUGCGCGCCUGAUGGGCUACCCGGUGCUGAUCGCCGAGGACAUGCCCGACCCGGCCUCCAACAGCUUCUCCAUCGCCUUCGGCGACUUCCGCGCCGGCUACACCAUCGCUGAACGCCCGGACCUGCGCGUGCUGCGCGAUCCCUUCAGCGCAAAACCGCACGUGCUGUUC
rnacentral:rRNA from 1 species